GGGCCCGCACAAGCAGUGGAGCAUGUGGUUUAAUUCGAAGAUACGCGCAGAACCUUACCAACGCUUGACAUGUUCGUCGCGAAACUAAGAGAUUAGUUUCUUCAGUUCGGCUGGACGAAACACAGGUGCUGCAUGGCUGUCGUCAGCUCGUGUCGUGAGAUGUUGGGUUAAGUCCCGCAACGAGCGCAACCCCCUACUUUUAGUUGCCACCAUUUAGUUGGGCACUUUAAAAGAACUGCCAGUGAUAAGCUGGAGGAAGGUGGGGAUGACGUCAAGUCCUCAUGGCCCUUAUGUGUUGGGCUACACACGUGCUACAAUGGCACUUACAAUGGGAUGCAAAGAGGUGACUCUAAGCUAAUCCCUAAAAUGUGUCUCAGUUCGGAUUGUACUCUGUAACUCGAGUGCAUGAAGCUGGAAUUGCUAGUAAUCGC
rnacentral:rRNA from 1 species